rnacentral:rRNA from 1 species
UACGAAGGGUGCAAGCGUUAAUCGGAAUUACUGGGCGUAAAGGGUGCGUAGGCGGUUCGUUAAGUCUGUCGUGAAAUCCCCGGGCUCAACCUGGGAAUGGCAGUGGAUACUGGACAGCUAGAGUGUGUCAGAGGAUGGUGGAAUUCCCGGUGUAGCGGUGAAAUGCGUAGAGAUCGGGAGGAACAUCAGUGGCGAAGGCGGCCAUCUGGGACAACACUGACGCUGAGGCACGAAAGCGUGGGGAGCAAACAGG